AAACAUGGUAGAAAAUUACUCGAACACUGUGGAGACAUUCCCUAAUUCUAUUCUCCCCCCAUCUGGCGAUCCCCAUCAUCACCACGACCGCUGCACACGCUUCGCCUACCCUCUGGAUCCAUCCAUCUCCGCCUCUCCGGCUCCAAGCACGGCUGCGGCAGCGAUGCUGGAGGCCACCUGCCCCACCACCAAGAAGCUCCCGCCCCCAUCUCGAAUCCAACCCCCACCAGCUCCCGCCCCAAACCCUCUCCCCUACCAUCACCACCACUACGGCACCUUCCCCCCGCCGCCCGUCGAAGGGGCGGCCUACCACGCCUCCCAGAUCGGGUUCGGUAGCCAGGGCGUUGUGGCCUUCCCGGGCACAGUGCAGCAGCAGAUCUUCGUGGAGGGCGUCCCCGUCCAGGAGCCGCCCCUGCCCUUCUGCGGCAUCGGCAUCGGCUGGUUUCUGUUCUUAUUGGGGUUCUUCUUGGCUGCCAUUCCCUGGUAUGCUGGUGCUUUCCUUCUAUUCUUUGUUGCUCUGGACCACAGAGAGAAGCCUGGACUAAUUGCAUGCACCGUUGUUGAGGAUGUCACCAUGGUUUCGUCCUGAACAACUGUUCUCAUUGUGGACCCCUGAGAUUUGUGUGCUCCGAAUUAUUUGUACUAUUAACUUCGUCAGGUUAAUGGGCAUAUUUGCACUAGUCCCACUCAUUCUGAACGGUAUCAGAAUGCAUCCUUUCUGGUGAACAAUGCUGGAUGUCGCCAAUCAAAGUCAAUAUGUAGCUAACAUUCCUGGCCCCACAUUUGAUAUGUCCGUACGCCAUAGCUGUAUUGUAUUGCUCAUGCCUGUGUAGAACAAAAUAUAUGAGCUUACGUGAAAAAAAAAUCGUUAUGUUGUUUUUCAUGUGCAGGCUCACAUGUGUGUAAUCAUGAAUUGUACAGUUUAUCUAUAUGACUGGGCUCCAAUCUAACAGUUUGCCAGAGCAGGAGCAAGUAGUAUAUGCCUGUGCACCAUGGUGGUCGA